AUUGAACGCUGGCGGCAGGCCUAACACAUGCAAGUCGAGCGGAUGAAGGGAGCUUGCUCCUGAAUUCAGCGGCGGACGGGUGAGUAAUGCCUAGGAAUCUGCCUGGUAGUGGGGGAUAACGUCCGGAAACGGGCGCUAAUACCGCAUACGUCCUGAGGGAGAAAGUGGGGGAUCUUCGGACCUCACGCUAUCAGAUGAGCCUAGGUCGGAUUAGCUAGUUGGUGGGGUAAAGGCCUACCAAGGCGACGAUCCGUAACUGGUCUGAGAGGAUGAUCAGUCACACUGGAACUGAGACACGGUCCAGACUCCUACGGGAGGCAGCAGUGGGGAAUAUUGGACAAUAGGCGAAAGCCUGAUCCAGCCAUGCCGCGUGUGUGAAGAAGGUCUUCGGAUUGUAAAGCACUUUAAGUUGGGAGGAAGGGCAGUAAGUUAAUACCUUGCUGUUUUGACGUUACCAACAGAAUAAGCACCGGCUAACUUCGUGC
rnacentral:rRNA from 1 species